UUUCGACACACUAUCAUUAACUGAAUCCAUAGGUUAAUGAGGCGAACCGGGGGAACUGAAACAUCUAAGUACCCCGAGGAAAAGAAAUCAACCGAGAUUCCCCCAGUAGCGGCGAGCGAACGGGGAGGAGCCCAGAGCCUGAAUCAGUGUGUGUGUUAGUGGAAGCGUCUGGAAAGGCGUGCGAUACAGGGUGACAGCCCCGUACACAAAAAUGCACAUAUUGUGAGCUCGAUGAGUAGGGCGGGACACGUGGUAUCCUGUCUGAAUAUGGGGGGACCAUCCUCCAAGGCUAAAUACUCCUGACUGACCGAUAGUGAACCAGUACCGUGAGGGAAAGGCGAAAAGAACCCCGGCGAGGGGAGUGAAAAAGAACCUGAAACCGUGUACGUACAAGCAGUGGGAGCCUCUUAAUGGGGUGACUGCGUACCUUUUGUAUAAUGGGUCAGCGACUUAUAUUCUGUAGCAAGGUUAACCGAAUAGGGGAGCCGAAGGGAAACCGAGUCUUAACUGGGCGUUAAGUUGCAGGGUAUAGACCCGAAACCCGGUGAUCUAGCCAUGGGCAGGUUGAAGGUUGGGUAACACUAACUGGAGGACCGAACCGACUAAUGUUGAAAAAUUAGCGGAUGACUUGUGGCUGGGGGUGAAAGGCCAAUCAAACCGGGAGAUAGCUGGUUCUCCCCGAAAGCUAUUUAGGUAGCGCCUCGUGAAUUCAUCUCCGGGGGUAGAGCACUGUUUCGGCAAGGGGGUCAUCCCGACUUACCAACCCGAUGCAAACUGCGAAUACCGGAGAAUGUUAUCACGGGAGACACACGGCGGGUGCUAACGUCCGUCGUGAAGAGGGAAACAACCCAGACCGCCAGCUAAGGUCCCAAAGUCAUGGUUAAGUGGGAAACGAUGUGGGAAGGCCCAGACAGCCAGGAUGUUGGCUUAGAAGCAGCCAUCAUUUAAAGAAAGCGUAAUAGCUCACUGGUCGAGUCGGCCUGCGCGGAAGAUGUAACGGGGCUAAACCAUG
rnacentral:rRNA from 1 species